GACGGAGGGGGCAAGCGUUGUCCGGACUCACUGGGCGUAAAGGGUGCGCAGGCGGUUCUGUGCGUCGGCGCUGAAAGUGCCCGGCUCAACCGGGUGAGGCGCGCCGAUACGAUGGAACUUGAGGCUCGGAGAGGGUGGUGGAACUCCUGGUGUAGUGGUGAAAUGCGUAGAGAUCAGGAAGAACACCCGUGGCGCAAGCGAACCACCUGGCCCGAGAC
rnacentral:rRNA from 1 species